rnacentral:misc_RNA from 1 species
GACGAGGACUCAUCGCACAAUGGA